AAAACGACUCUCGGCAACGGAUAUCUCGGCUCUCGCAUCGAUGAAGAACGUAGCGAAAUGCGAUACUUGGUGUGAAUUGCAGAAUCCCGUGAACCAUCGAGUCUUUGAACGCAAGUUGCGCCCGAAGCCAUCAGGCCGAGGGCACGCCUGCCUGGGCGUCACGC
rnacentral:rRNA from 1 species